rnacentral:rRNA from 1 species
CACCUGUUUAUCAAAAACAUUGUAUUAAGUUUAAUUUAAUAUAGGAUCUGCUCAAUGAUUUAUUAAAUAGCUGCAGUAUUUUGACUGUGCAAAGGUAGCAUAAUAAUUAGUCUUUUAAUUGAGGACUUGAAUGAAAGAUUUGAUGAGAAAUAGACUUUAUUAUUUAUAAAAUUAAAAUUUUAUUUUUAAGUAAAAAAGCUUAAAUUAUUUAAAGGGACGAUAAGACCCUAUAAAACUUUAUAAAUUUUGAUUUUAAUUUUUUUGGAUUCAUAAAUAUUUUAUAAUUAAAAUUUAUUUUAUUGGGGUGAUAAAAAAAAUUAUUAAACUUUUUUUAAAAUUUAACAUUAUUUAAUGAUUAGUUGAAUUAAAAUUUUUAAUUAAAGGAAAAAGUUACUUUAGGGAUAACAGCGUAAUUAAUUUUUUAAGUUCAAAUUUAAAAAUUAGUUUGCGACCUCGAUGUUGAAUUAAGAUUAAUCUUAGGUGCAAAAUUUUAAGUAUUAGGUCUGUUCGACCUUUAAAUUCUUACAUGAUCUGAUUCCAAUCGAA